rnacentral:rRNA from 1 species
UACAGAGGGGGCAAGCGUUGUUCGGAAUUACUGGGCGUAAAGGGCGCGUAGGCGGCCUUCUAAGUCGAACGUGAAAUCCCCGGGCUCAACCCGGGAACUGCGUCCGAGACUGGAAGGCUCGAAUCCGGGAGAGGGAUGUGGAAUUCCAGGUGUAGCGGUGAAAUGCGUAGAUAUCUGGAGGAACAUCGGGGGCGAAGGCGGCAUCCUGGACCGGUAUUGACGCUGAGGCGCGAAAGCCAGGGGAGCAAACGGG